UGUAGGAGCCGGCUUGCUGGCGAUAGCGGUGUAGCCGCCACCGAAAGGGCCGACGCUCGGAUCGCUAUCGCCAGCAAGCCGGCUCCCGCA
rnacentral:misc_RNA from 1 species